ACGGCUUCAGAAGACUUAGGAUAUUGCAUACCAAUCAUAUGGACAUUUUUUAUGGAUUAAUUUUACAGAUGCAUAUGGAUUUAUGCUAAAACUUUUCUAAGGAGGCUGUUGGCGCAAGUGAUUCCCACUUUCGGAUCUGCGGUCUCAUCCAAUCGAGUGAGAGAUCCUCCAUGAAAAGGGCAGGCUGCCAAGCCACGGCGACUGUGACAGAGCAAUGCAUUAGGACAUUAAGACACCCACUCCCUUGCUGAAAAUCAAUCACACACUUCUGCAUGCAUUAUGGGCAGAGAAGGGCACCCGGCAGAUUGCUUGCUACCUCUACGGCUGCAGUCGGGCCAGCCAUACCUCCAUGUCCUUUCUGUUCUUAUCAUGCCCUUGUUGAAGAGGAGGGUUGGGACCUGAAGACGCCAAAACGUCUGUUUCUCAGGAUGACCAGCGGCGAGAGAAGAUGAGGGAAGAUGAUUGUAUGAAUGUACCAGCAAGUGCAAAAUGUGAAGAAAGUGGAUAAAAUAGACGCUGCAAAAGUAAAAUGACGAUAUGUAGCAACACCUGAUCUUGAGGCUGCUUAUUUACAUGUAGAUUGGAUCUG